rnacentral:rRNA from 1 species
GAUGAACGCUGGCGGCGUGCCUAAUACAUGCAAGUCGAGCGAACAGACGAGGAGCUUGCUCCUCUGACGUUAGCGGCGGACGGGUGAGUAACACGUGGAUAACCUACCUAUAAGACUGGGAUAACUUCGGGAAACCGGAGCUAAUACCGGAUAAUAUAUUGAACCGCAUGGUUCAAUAGUGAAAGACGGUUUUGCUGUCACUUAUAGAUGGAUCCGCGCCGCAUUAGCUAGUUGGUAAGGUAACGGCUUACCAAGGCAACGAUGCGUAGCCGACCUGAGAGGGUGAUCGGCCACACUGGAACUGAGACACGGUCCAGACUCCUACGGGAGGCAGCAGUAGGGAAUCGUCCGCAAUGGGCGAAAGCUUGACGGAGCAACGCCGCGUGAGAGAUGAAGGUCUUCGGAUCGUAAAACUCUGUUAUUAGGGAAGAACAAAUGUGUAAGUAACUAUGCACGUCUUGACGGUACCUAAUAAGAAAGCCACGGCUAACUACGUG